rnacentral:rRNA from 1 species
CAACAUGAGAGUUUGAUCCUGGCUCAGGAUGAACGCUGGCGGCGUGCCUAACACAUGCAAGUCGAACGGAGUUAUAUAACGGAAGUUUUCGGAUGGAAGAUAUGUAACUUAGUGGCGGACGGGUGAGUAACGCGUGGGCAACCUGCCCUGUACCGGGGGAUAACACUUAGAAAUAGGUGCUAAUACCGCAUAAGCGCACAGCUUCGCAUGAAGCAGUGUGAAAAACUCCGGUGGUACAGGAUGGACCCGCGUCUGAUUAGCUAGUUGGUGGGGUAGAGGCCCACCAAGGCGACGAUCAGUAGCCGGCCUGAGAGGGUGACCGGCCACAUUGGGACUGAGACACGGCCCAAACUCCUACGGGAGGCAGCAGUGGGGAAUAUUGCACAAUGGGGGAAACCCUGAUGCAGCGACGCCGCGUGAGUGAAGAAGUAUUUCGGUACGUAAAGCUCUAUCAGCAGGGAAGAAAAUGACGGUACCUGACUAAGAAGCCCCGGCUAACUACGUGCCAGCAGCCGCGGUAAUACGUAGGGGGCAAGCGUUAUCCGGAUUUACUGGGUGUAAAGGGAGCGUAGACGGCAGGGCAAGUCUGGAGUGAAAGCCCGGGGCUCAACCCCGGGACUGCUUUGGAAACUGCCUAGCUAGAGUGCAGGAGAGGUAAGAGGAAUUCCUAGUGUAGCGGUGAAAUGCGUAGAUAUUAGGAGGAACACCAGUGGCGAAGGCGUCUUACUGGACUGUAACUGACGUUGAGGCUCGAAAGCGUGGGGAGCAAACAGGAUUAGAUACCCUGGUAGUCCACGCCGUAAACGAUGAUUACUAGGUGUCGGGGCUUAUAAGCCUUCGGUGCCGCAGCAAACGCAAUAAGUAAUCCACCUGGGGAGUACGUUCGCAAGAAUGAAACUCAAAGGAAUUGACGGGGACCCGCACAAGCGGUGGAGCAUGUGGUUUAAUUCGAAGCAACGCGAAGAACCUUACCAAGUCUUGACAUCCCAAUGACAGCAUAUGUAAUGUAUGUUCCCUUCGGGGCAUUGGAGACAGGUGGUGCAUGGUUGUCGUCAGCUCGUGUCGUGAGAUGUUGGGUUAAGUCCCGCAACGAGCGCAACCCUUAUCUUUAGUAGCCAGCAGUAAGAUGGGAACUCUAGAGAGACUGCCGGGGAUAACCCGGAGGAAGGUGGGGAUGACGUCAAAUCAUCAUGCCCCUUAUGAUUUGGGCUACACACGUGCUACAAUGGCGUGAACAGAGGGAAGCGAAGGGGUGACCUGGAGCAAAUCCCAAAAAACACGUCUCAGUUCGGAUUGUAGUCUGCAACUCGACUACAUGAAGCUGGAAUCGCUAGUAAUCGCGAAUCAGAAUGUCGCGGUGAAUACGUUCCCGGGUCUUGUACACACCGCCCGUCACACCAUGGGAGUCGGAAAUGCCCGAAGUCUGUGACCUAACCCUCAUCGGUAAGCAUGACCGUAUCAGGAGAUAACGAAAGGAACAAAGAGAGUUUCGUUAUAUUCGAGAAAAAAGAUACGUGCCGGUCGUGCUCAGCGAUGAGGGGAGGAGCAGCCGAAGGCAGGUCUGAUAACUGGGGUGAAGUCGUAACAAGGUAGCCGUAUCGGAAGGUGCGGCUGGAUCACCUCCUUU